rnacentral:lncRNA from 1 species
ACUAUCAUCACUCGCUAAUUGCACUUUCCUGAAAUCAAACAAAAAAAAAUAUUUUUACAUACCUUUGAAAUUACUCAAAUUUUGUCUCAAGUGGAGUAGACCUGAAACCUCUCUUCGACUAAUAAUGUCACACUUCCCUCGACAUUCUCUGAUUCUUCACCAUAAUUUUUUUUUUCAUAUUGUACGAAUUCGUCUUAGAUCUGAUCCGAUCUAACUCUCAACUCACUCUUGAAUCUCUCUCGAUAGAUCACUCUCAAACACACUAAAAAAAGAAUACGAAAAGACUGUAAAGAACACACGAGACUUUAACAAGUUCAGCUCCAAACCGGAGCCUACGUCUGGCCGGAGAUUCUCUCCGGAAUUCACUAGAUCGGUGUUUCUUUAGUUAGAGCUUUUGAGCUUCCGAUUCUGUUACGAUUACAACAACUUAAGAAGUGUAAAAGAUACUCCCUCUGUAUUCGUUUUGUUGUCGUUCUAUCUAACUGUAAUCACACAUAUUAAGAAAAAGUGUAAAAUGACUUAUUUAACCUCACCUAAACAACUACUCCUUUAACUUUUUAUUUUGCCGACAUAAAUUAAAGUUUUGUCUUUGGUACUCCUCCGUAGAGAGCCAGAAAAAAUGUUGACCAUAGAUUUGUCAUCUGUUUUCGAUUCGUUUUGAUUCUUACUUUAUCUUCUUCUUCUUCUCUUCUUCUUUUUGAAUCUUUAUCUUCUCACUUUUUUUUUCACUUUUGGGAAGCUCGAAGAGCUGAGGAGUGAGAGAGAGAGAAGGAUCUUUGAAGUCGCCGGAAUUGUUAAACCGGAGCUCCGACUAUUCAACACAAACCCAAAUCAAUCUGCGUUUCUUCUCUCUUCGUCUACGAUGACCUCGAAGAACAGUGGUUUGUCUGCCGCGCUUGUUUCGAAUCUCCAAGAUGUGCUUUCGAAAGAGAAAAGUAGGGAACGAGGAAAAAGUUGGGAACGAUGGAUCGGCGGAUUGAUUAAUUAUAUCAAUUAAUUGAGGUUAAUUUAGGAAUGUUUAUGUAAAAGUUGAAUUGGGAGGUGUAAACGACAUCUAAUUAUUAACAAAAAAAAAAUGUGUAGAACGACAACAAAACGAAUACAGAGGGAGUACUGAUUAACAAUAAAGAGAAAGAGCAUUUAUAACAGCUUCUAGAACUCCCAUCUCGCAUGUGUAAGCUCACACGUGCCCGAGUCAAAACUGCUAUGACUGAAACCCUCUCCUCUUUCUAGAGUCUUCUCUGUACUUAGUGUAAUCUCAGACUUGCUUUAUGAGACACAAACCUUCACUUAUAAACAUAUGCAUUCCUUUUUUGAGAAA